GUUUUAAUAGUUUAUAUAAAAUAUUGGUCUUGUAAACCAAAGUUAAAAUGCCCCCUUUUUAAAACU
rnacentral:tRNA from 1 species